rnacentral:rRNA from 1 species
GAGUUUGAUCAUGGCUCAGAACGAACGCUGGCGGCAGGCCUAACACAUGCAAGUCGAACGCUCUAGCAAUAGAGAGUGGCAGACGGGUGAGUAACACGUGGGAAUCUUCCUAUCGGUACGGAAUAGCUCAGGGAAACUUGGGGUAAUACCGCAUACGCCUUUCGGGGAAGAUUUAUCGCCGAUAGAUGAGCCCGCGUCUGAUUAGCUAGUUGGUGAGGUAAUGGCUCACCAAGGCGACGAUCAGUAGCUGGUCUGAGAGGAUGACCAGCCACACUGGGACUGAGACACGGCCCAGACUCCUACGGGAGGCAGCAGUGGGGAAUAUUGGACAAUGGGCGCAAGCCUGAUCCAGCCAUGCCGCGUGAGUGACGAAGGUCUUCGGAUUGUAAAGCUCUUUUGGCGGGGACGAUAAUGACGGUACCCGCAGAAUAAGCCCCGGCUAACUUCGUGCCAGCAGCAGCCGCGGU